rnacentral:rRNA from 1 species
CCUACGGGAGGCUGCAGUGGGGAAUAUUGCACAAUGGGGGAAACCCUGAUGCAGCGACGCCGCGUGAGUGAAGAAGUAUUUCGGUAUGUAAAGCUCUAUCAGCAGGGAAGAAGCAAGACGGUACCUGACUAAGAAGACCCGGCUAACUACGCGCCCGCAGCCGCGGUAAUACGGGGGGGGCAAGCGUUUUCCGGAAGCAUUGGGCGUAAAACGUUCGUAGACGGUAUGUCAAGUCUGAUGUUAAAGCCCGGGGCUCAACUCCGGUUCGGCAUUGGAUACUGGCAAAGUAGAAUGUGGUAGAGGGAAAGGGAAUUCCUGGUGUAGCGGUGAAAUGCGUAGAUAUCAGGAGGAACAUCGGUGGCGAAAGCGCUUUACUGGACCAUUAUUGACGCUGAGGAACGAAAGCCAGGGGAGCAAAUGGGAUUAGAUACCCUAGUAGUC